ACGCUAGCGAUAGGCUUAACACAUGCAAGUCGAGGGGCAGCAUGGUCUUAGCUUGCUAAGACUGAUGGUGACCGGCGCACGGGUGCGUAACGCGUAUGCAACUUGCCUCACAGAGGGGGAUAACCCGUCGAAAGACGGACUAAUACCGCGUACACUCUAUGUUGGGCAUCCAAUGUAGAGGAGAUGAAAUUCGCUGUGAGAUAGGCAUGCGUCCCAUUAGCUAGUUGGUGAGGUAACGGCUCACCAAGGCGACGAUGGGUAGGGGAACUGAGAGGUUGAACCCCCACACUGGUACUGAGACACGGACCAGACUCCUACGGGAGGCAGCAGUGAGGAAUAUUGGUCAAUGGGCGAGAGCCUGAACCAGCCAAGUCGCGUGAAGGAUGACUGUCUUAUGGAUUGUAAACUUCUUUUAUACGGGAAUAACAAGAGUCACGUGUGACUCCCUGCAUGUACCGUAUGAAUAAGCAUCGGCUGACUCCGUGCCAGCAGCCGCGGUAAUACGGAGGAUGCGAGCGUUAUCCGGAUUUAUUGGGUUUAAAGGGUGCGUAGGCGGCCUGUUAAGUCAGCGGUGAAAUCUAGGAGCUUAACUCCUAAAUUGCCAUUGAUACUGGCGGGCUUGAGUGUAGAUGAGGUAGGCGGAAUGCGUGGUGUAGCGGUGGAAUGCAUAGAUAUCACGCAGAACUCCGAUUGCGAAGGCAGCUUACUAAGGUACAACUGACGCUGAAGCACGAAAGCGUGGGUAUCAAACAGGAUUAGAUACCCUGGUAGUCCACGCAGUAAACGAUGAUAACUGGGCGUAUGCGAUAUACAGUAUGCUCCUAAGCGAAAGCGUUAAGUUAUCCACCUGGGGAGUACGCCGGCAACGGUGAAACUCAAAGGAAUUGACGGGGGCCCGCACAAGCGGAGG
rnacentral:rRNA from 1 species